rnacentral:lncRNA from 1 species
AGACGAUAGGGAGUUGGCUGCAACAGAUUGACGCAUCAAGUAGGGGAAGACUACAGUUAAUCAUGCCGAGAACCAGAGCUUAGCAUUCGACUAGAUCGGUGAGACAGUCUUCCUGUCGGAAAGAUGUUCCUCCUCUACCUCUGAUGGCAGAGCCUAGUUCCUCGCGUCUUGUGAUUACACGGAUGCACAGAUUGCUGCAC